GUCAACCACCCCUUCCUAAAGGACGGGGCUUAAGUAAGCCGCAAGCUAAGCGGAUUAAUCAAGAUAAAACAGUUGACUAGACAGAAAGUUAAACGGAUUUCUCGUGGCAGGGGAAAUGAUACCGGGAAUG
rnacentral:ncRNA from 1 species